GUCUAAUUGUGGUAAGGAACAAUAAACUAGGUUUAAGUAUCUUUAAAGAUAGAAUUUUAAAUAGGCAUGAACUGUAGUGAGAACUGACUUUUAGUAAACAUGGUACCUUCUAUUCUAAUAAAACAUUCACUUUAUUUACCUAAAGAAUUUAGGUUGCUUAUGAAUCCUUUUUUUAAUCUCUAGGUUAGCUCUAAUUAUUUUAUGAUUCUUAACACUUUUUUUUUAAUGUAACUUUUUUUUGG
rnacentral:lncRNA from 1 species